rnacentral:rRNA from 1 species
CCUACGGGUGACAGCAGUGGGGGAUAUUGCACAAUGGGGGGAACCCUGAUGCAGCGACGCCGCGUGGGUGAAGGAGUGCUUCGGCAUGUAAAGCCCUAUCGGCAGGGAAGAAGCAAGACGGUACCUGACUAAGAAGCCCCGGCUAACUACGUGCCAGCAGCCGCGGUAAUACGUAGGGGGCGAGCGUUAUCCGGAUUCACUGGGUGUAAAGGGAGCGUAGACGGCCAUGCAAGCCAGGGGUGAAAGCCCGGGGCCCAACCCCGGGACUGCCCUUGGAACUGUGCGGCUAGAGUGCGGGAGGGGCAGGCGGAAUUCUUGGUGUAGCGGUGAAAUGCGUAGAUAUCAGGAGGAACACCGGCGGCGAAGGCGGCCUGCUGGACUGCGACUGACGUUGAGGCUCGAAAGCGUGGGGAGCGAACAGGAUUAGAUACCCCUGUAGUC